GCACCCAUAGCUCAGUUGGAUAGAGCGACUGUCUUCGGAACAGUAGGUCGGGGGUUCGAAUCCCUCUGGGUGCA
rnacentral:tRNA from 1 species